AUCCGGUAGAUAUAAAGACGAGUUGUGAUCUAUCCAAUUCAUUAAAGUUUACCCUGUUGUUACUAAAACAGUUUACCUUUGAAUUAUUAACAUUGACUAACUGAUUUGAAAGUCAUUACAAUGAAAAAUACGAUCGGACUCAUCUUUUUAUUUGCUGUUUUCAAUGUGUCGUUAUCCUUACGAGAGUUGGACUUUAUCGGAAGUCUAUACCCUGAAGGCAUACCAAAGCAGUUACUGAAUUUAUUGGUCACUCGGCGAAGUAAUCAAGUCAAGGCCAAGUCCGCAUUGGAAUCGAUUCCUAGAGACGCAAAAACCUUUUACAUUGAAA